GAGGGUACAGCUCAGUGGUACAGCACGUGCUUAGCAAGCACGAGGUCCUGGGUUCGAUUCCCCAGUAGCUCCA
rnacentral:tRNA from 1 species